UGGGGAAUAUUGCACAAUGGGCGGAAGCCUGAUGCAGCGACGCCGCGUGAGGGAUGACGGCCUUCGGGUUGUAAACCUCUUUCAGUAGGGACGAAGCGUAAGUGACGGUACCUAACCAGAAAGCCACGGCUAACUACGUGCCAGCAGCCGCGGUAAUACGUAGGUGGCAAGCGUUGUCCGGAAUUAUUGGGCGUAAAGCGCGCGCAGGUGGUUUAGAAAGUCUGAUGUGAAAGCCCACGGCUCAACCGUGGAGGGUCAUUGGAAACUAAUAAACUUGAGUGCAGGAGAGAAAAGUGGAAUUCCUAGUGUAGCGGUGAAAUGCGUAGAGAUUAGGAGGAACACCGGUGGCGAAAGCGGCUUUUUGGCCUGCAACUGACACUGAGGCGCGAAAGCGUGGGGAGCAAACAGG
rnacentral:rRNA from 1 species